rnacentral:tRNA from 1 species
UGCGGAUUGGAGCACUGGUUGUCGCUCACAAGUCUCAUAAGCUUGUCAUCAGGGAAGUUCGAUUCUUCCAUCCGCGA